rnacentral:misc_RNA from 1 species
AACGCACGAGACCUGCGGACCUGCGGAGGGAUCAUUACCGAGUUAUUCAACUCCCAAAACCCUGUGAACUUUACCAAUGUUGCUUCGGCGGAGUCGUCCCGGGUGCGCUCGAAAGGGCGUGUCCCGGAUCCAUGGCGCCCGCCGGGGGAUCUAUACUCUUGUUUUUAUAGUGGUAUCUUCUGAGUGGCAUAAGCAAAAUAAAUCAAAACUUUCAGCAACGGAUCUCUAGAUCGGAAGAGC